rnacentral:rRNA from 1 species
UACGUAGGGGGCAAGCGUUGUCCGGAAUCAUUGGGCGUAAAGAGCGCGUAGGCGGCCCUGUAAGUCCGCUGUGAAAGUCAAGGGCUCAACCCUUGGAUGCCGGUGGAUACUGCAGGGCUAGAGUCCGGAAGAGGCGAGUGGAAUCCUGGUGUAGCGGUGAAAUGCGCAGAUAUCAGGAGGAACACCGGUGGCGAAGGCGGUUCUCUGGGCCUUACCUGACGCUGAGGAGCGAAAGCGUGGGUAGCGAACAG